rnacentral:lncRNA from 1 species
UUUUUUUUUCCCUUUUCUUUCAAUCCAAAUAAGUGGUUUUCACAUAUUUCAGGUUUUUCCUUUUGUGUUUUUUGUGAUUUCGUCGUCUAAGUGCGGCGUUGUGUUGUUCAUCGUCUUAUAUUGCAUGUGAUUUUGCGUCUUAUCGCAGUGUUCGUUUAGUUCCUAUUGAAAGCUCGACAUCAUCAAUUACAAAUUCAAUCAAUUAUUUGGGUGUCAACGUUGCAGAUCCGAAAGCAUGGGUAUUUCGGUGACUUAGAUUUUAUCAUAUUAUUAUUUGUAUGCAUUUUGUUGUUGUAUGUUAUUAACUUUGGUGUUGUGAGUUUGUUCGCAGAUUCAUCCUUUACGUUUUUAGCGAUGUUUGUAUCUGAUGUAAUCAAUCAAUUUGAAUGAAUAAAUAUCAUUUUGUUUUUUUG